CUCAGCCUGUGUGCGGGUGAGCCCCGCGGGGCAGGGGCUGAGUGGAGGGGUGGACCAGGGAGUUUAAAGAGUGACACGCUCCGUGGAAAGGCAGGCAUUACCCUCCUGCUUCUUUCUGGAGUAGCAAUCGGUGGGAAAAGAGGACCAGGCUGGACUGGGCUGUGGGAAGCAGGAACAAGGAAUCAGACACUCUCCCUGGUGUUAGCAGGAAGGCAGGAGUGGGAUAGCUGCUGCUGGAUCUUGGCAUCAGGCUGUGCACAUCCCCCCACCCUUUGGCUACCAGUGUGCCAGGAGGGAAGGAGAGAGGAUGGGGGACUGCAGAUACAGACUGGACACCUCUUCACCUCCAGCUACCAGCGUGCCACAGACACUCAGGGACAGACUCUGCAGCCUUCUCACCCUUCGGCUACUGGAAAGCUACAACAGCCCCCUGCCGAGCUGACUUUUUAAUAAAGAGCUGAACAUUAA